rfam:Perkinsus marinus ATCC 50983 gcontig_1104296521598, whole genome shotgun sequence.
ACGACUUAAUUGCAUCCGGGUAUUGUAAGUGUUGAGAGUAGGCUUAGUCUUACGAUCCACUGAGAUUCAUCCCGUGUUGCGCCGAUUUGU